rnacentral:lncRNA from 1 species
AUGUUCUUUCUUUAAGAGAAUAGGAAUAAAUAAAUUGACCUUAUCUUUUUUUAUUUAGUUGACUAUAUAUUGACCGUAGACGACCAAACCAAUCAAGAUAAAACGUAUUUCUUUUUCUUAUAUAUAUUUUGAUAUAAAAUUCGGUAUGAAUCUAUAUCAUAUGUACACAUCAACAUCUCUUCAAAUGCGUAAAAUUACAUGCUGUUUCUUUUCUUUUUUCUUUUGAUAAGGAAUUCAAUUUAAUUAAAUUAUCAUUAGACAUAUUCCUUGUUCUAAAAAUUGUAAGCGCGGAUGAGGCAAUAAUAAAGUGCAGGAACUAAACGACACAAGAAAUUUGUUAACGAGGUUCGGUUUUUCCUACUCCCCGGGACCACGUCCAGAUUUCGAUUUCACUAGAACAAGAAAGCAAAUUACAACCAAUUCGCAAACGCGUAAAACAAGCACAAUCCUCUUGAUUUACCGUUCCCUUCUAUAACGUGAAACCUUAAGGAUAAUCUCUACCCUUAACUAAACUCCCCCUCGAGUCUAGAUUUAAUCAGGAUAAUCUAACCAUGAGCUAAACUCUCCUUGAGCCUAGACUUCAAAAACAAAACCACUUGAUCACACAAGCACAAACCCGCAAAACUAAGUUGCACACAAUCUCACAGAAAGCUCUCAAGGAUUUCUUCUUUAUGCCUCAGCUCUCUUGCUUCUCCAAGACGUCCUCAGCUCCUCCUUAUAUAGCCAAAACGAUUUCCUAAUCAUCAUAGGAGAAGAUUUCCAAUUUCCAUAAGAAAAAGUAAAUUUUCUUUUACACUUUUCUUUUUCCUCAUCAAACUCCACUUUCAUCAAGUCUUCCAAAUCUCUUUAAGUCUUUUGUCCUUUGUGAUUCACCUCUAAACACGCUCCAAACACAUCUUCUCAAACUUUCUAGAAACCGACACUCACACAAAAACAGUCGUAUCUUGAAUUACUUCUUGAAUCAUUCAGCAACUCCAUCAGACAAAAUCUUGUAUUACUUCUUGACUCAUUCAACAACUUCAUCAGACAGCAACUACAUCUUCAAAAAUCGGCCGCCUAGCCGCCUAGGCGCUGAUCGGGUGAGAACCGCGGGGAUUUUAUCCAAAUCGGUAAAAAAAACGGUGAUUCGAUUUUUAUCCGCCUAGACCGCCUAGGCGUCCGCCUAGACGGCGCCAAGUCCAAUUAUUUUUUUUUUUGAUCUAAAAUUCUAAACGUCCCACUUAUGUUCAUAAUUUGUAUAAAAAUCAUAAGUUUGACCUUAAAUUUUUGUUUUCAUGUGUUUAAUGCAAUUUUAAAAACAAGAUUAUAUAAAUUUCUUCUUUAUAAUGGAUUAAUAUGUUUUUAAAAUAUUAAAUAGUAUUAAAACUAAUCCCCGAUUAAUCCUUGUUUAAUCUCCGAUUUUCUUGUUAGGCGCUAGACCCACCCUCACUGCCCGACUAGCGCCUAACGAUUUUUUAAACAUGGGACAUAUUUGGGGUUAACUUCUUAUUAUAUUUGAAACGUAAGCAUUAGAUAAUACCGACGUCUUUUAGCUUUCAUAUAUGGUUCGAAGUUAAGAAAUUAUGAUUCGUUUACUCUUUUUAUUCUACUAUGCUUUUUGUUUGCUUAUAUAGUUAUUAUAGUUAGUAUUUAUUUGUGGGUUAAGAUAUAAGAUAUUUAGGGGUAGUAACUUUGAAAGCCAAUAAAAUAUUCUUGAAGUAAAAGAGCCCCAAAAGUAAUCCUCAAUGACAAUUCUAAGAAAAGUAUCAAUUUCGAGCACAUGCAAAUAUUCAAUCAACUUUCCAAAAAGUAUAAAGAUGAACCAAAUUUAUAUAAACGGUUUUUAAUGAUUAAAUAGAUAUCCAUAUCAUGAUAUAAAUUUCAUAGCGACCAAAUAUUUGUAUAUAUCAAAUAAGAAACGAUCUCGAUCUGGUUAGUUGUAUUCAUUUAAAACAAUUUUUAAUGAAUAAAAAACAAUUUUUAAUGAAUUUUAUGUCAUAAAUAGAAAUCAAUCGAUAGAUAGAAGAGGAAAAAUAUAUAUACAAAUUCAAGUUUUUAAUUAUGGUAGUUAGCUAAUGGCAUAAUAGAUCACAUAUACAGUAUUCUGAAACAAGGCAAACUAAAGCUAUCGAGUUAAUAUAAUAAAAUUAGUAAACAAUAUAAUAAACUUAAAAUUUUAGCAAAAUUAUAGAUGAUCAGAGUAUGCCAAAAUAUCUGAUUAAAUAUUAAUCUGACCUUCAACUUGAGAUAUUCCAGUUCUAUAAAAUAAUAGCUAAAAUAAUCAUAUUUCAGAGAUAUAUCUAUAUAUACAUUUUUGAAUCAUAAUUAGCAAAUAAAUCAUGAAGUUGAGAAGUAUUUACAAUGACAUGCCAUUAGCAUUAAUUCUUUAGAUUUAUUUUAUUUAAGUAAAGAUUUUUAAUUGAAAUUCAUUUCUCAUAUAUUUAGCAAAAGUCUCUACAAAAUCUUUCCUUAUCUAUUUAAGUAAAGAUUUUGAAAUCAAAUAUGUUUUCAACAAUUUACCAAAAAUCUUUACACAAUCUUUUUAAAAAUCUCGACUUAGUUAACUUCUGAUUUUUAUCUGCAAAAAAAAAAAUUAAUUGUAACGAGUGAUGUAAAAAUCGGGAAUGUUGAUACUACAAUUUCUUCUACUUUUUUUUUUUUCAUAUAAUGAAAAUUAUUUUUUAGAGAUAUUUUCUUAAAACCUCUAAACAAAACAAAGGGCUUCAAAAGAUAGCUUCUCUUUUGGCGGGUCGACCCGCAAACCCGCAACUCUCUACGGGCUUAUCCCAUGAACUUGCGACCCGUAGUGGAUAAAAAUAUUAUUCAAAAAAAAAUAACAAAUGAUGUUUAAUUCCCCACGCCACAGGGGUUAUAUGGUAGCAACAGGGUUUAGAUCAAUAUUAAUAUUAAACAAUAUACUAUAGAUGAAUCCUAGAAUUAAAAUGAAAAUUUAAUUAUAAAUCAGAACNNNNNNNNNNNNNNNNNNNNNNNNNNNNNNNNNNNNNNNNNNNNNNNNNNNNNNNNNNNNNNNNNNNNNNNNNNNNNNNNNNNNNNNNNNNNNNNNNNNNUGCCAUUAGCAUUAAUUCUUUAGGAUUUAUGUUAAUUAAAGUAAAGAAUCUUUAAUUGAAAAUUCAUUUCUCAUAUAUUUAGCAAAAGUCUCUACAAAUCUUUCCUUAUCUAUUUAAGUAAAGAUUUUGAAAUCAAAUAUGUUUUCAACAAUUUACCAGAAAUCUUUACACAAUCUUUUUAAAAAUCUCGACUUAGUUAACUUCUGAUUUUUAUCUGCAAAAUAAAAAAUUAAUUGUAACGAGUGAUGUAAAAAUCGGGAAUGUUGAUACUACAAUUUCUUCUACUUUUUUUUUUUUCAUAUAAUGAAAAUUAUUUUUUAGAGAUAUUUUCUUAAAACCUCUAAACAAAACAAAGGGCUUCAAAAGAUAGCUUCUCUUUUGGCGGGUCGACCCGCAAACCCGCAACUCUCUACGGGCUUAUCCCAUGAACUUGCGACCCGUAGUGGAUAAAAAUAUUAUUCAAAAAAAAAUAACAAAUGAUGUUUAAUUUUACGGGACGGGGUUAUAUGGUGCAACGGGUUUAGAUCAAUAUUAAUAUUAAACAAUAUACUAUAGAUGAAAUCCUAGAAUUAAAAAUCAAAAUUUAAUUAUAAAAUCAGAAACACUAAAGAAAAUAAACAAUAUUAACAAAACAAAUACAACUUAAAAUUUUGCAAAAUAAUUUUUUAGUUAUAAAAAAAUCGACCAGCGGUGUACCGCGGGGUAAAAUCUAAAUUUAGAAGUUUAAAGAAAAAAAUAUUUUUUUAAAAAUAAUAGCUCCGCGGUAUACCGCAAGAAAAAUCUUCCUCCUAAACUGAGGCAAGAAGAAAAAGAAAGCCAAAUGUCGUUUUAGUGUAUAUAUAUAGAUAUACCAUUUAAACCUAAAACACAAUUAAUAUACUCAAAACUAUUAAUAUAGAUAUAUGAAUGGUACAUUUAUAAAAUAGUUGAAAUAUUAUAUUAUACUCUCUAUUAAUAAACAAAACUAAUUAUAUUUAGAUUUUUUAAAAAAAAAAAUUAUAGCCCCGCGGUGUACCGCGGGUUCAAAUCUAGUUAGUUUCAAUUUUGGAUCAGAUCUUCUAGUUAAAAAAAAAAAGAAAAUUUUACCAAAAUUAAUGAGUUCAUAAAUACACUAAUUUGACUAUGAGAAAAUAUUCACGCAAUUAAUUUUGUAUUUUUCUACCCAAGUACAUACUUACAUUUCAUUAAAAAGGAUUAGUUCAUUUUUCUUGUUUCUCGGUUUUCAAUAAAAAUGUAAAAAUCAUGGUUAAUUACUUUAUGAACUUGAAAGAAAAUAAAAAGAACUAUAUAAAAAAAGAUCUAAUUAAAAAAAAAAUAGAAAGAUCUUAUCUUACUGUGGAAACUGGAAAGUAGAAAGGCCAUAAACGAAAUUAACGUCUGAUCAUCCAUAAAAAAAAAAGAAUAAAGAAGAUUAAGAAUAAACAUCCAAAACCAAAAAUAAUUAAUUAAAAUUAAACAUAUAGUUUAGGGCAAAAUCGAAGCUUUUAACAUUGAUGUAAUCAAACCUCUGAAAAAGCAAAAAAAUAAAUAAUAAAAAAAUCGAUAUACUAUUACUAAGAAACUUAAAGAGCUCUCUCUCUCUCUCUCUCUCAUAAACAAAAAAAAAAAAGUUUCUCAGGAAACCCCAAAUCCACAAAUCCCACUUGCAAUUUCUCCCCACAUCUCCCCAUAGCUCUCUCUCUCUCUCUCUCUCUCUCUCUCUCUCGUCUUCUACGGCUGUGAAGCAAAUAAAGCAAAAAUUCCAAAAUCCUUUCCUCCGAUUUGUUCCAAAAAUCUCUGAAAGUUUUCAACUUUGGGUCAGUUUGGAGAAGAACACACAAAUCUCUUGAAUGCAAUGUGAAAAAGGAACAGUUUUUUCCGACGAGAAUGGUGGCUGCAGCGAUUUCAACCACUGACCCAAGAAACCCACCUCGAGAUCGACAAGAUAAACCUCAAUCCUUAACCAACAAUGGCGGACAAAGAAGACCCAGAGGCAAACAAGUUCCUUCUCGCUACUUAUCUCCUUCUCCUUCUCACUCUGUCUCUUCCAACACCACUACCACUACCACCACUACCACAUCUUCUUCCUCCUCUUCUUCUUCCUCUGCGAUACUCAGAACUAGUAAACGAUACCCAUCUCCUUCGCCUUUACUCUCUCGCUCCACGACCAAUUCCGCUUCUAAUUCUAUCAAAACGCCUUCUUUGUUACCUAAACGGUCCCAAUCAGUGGACCGUCGUCGACCCUCGGCGGUUCCGGUCACUGUAGGCAGUGAAAUGUCGGCGGCUACGAAGAUGCUUAUCACUUCCACUAGGAGUUUGUCUGUUUCGUUUCAAGGUGAAGCCUUUUCUCUUCCGAUUAGUAAAAAGAAAGAGGCUACUACUACGCCGGUUUCUCACCGGAAAUCUACUCCGGAGCGACGGAGAUCGACGCCGGUUCGAGAUCAGAGAGAGAACUCUAAGCCUGUUGACCAGCAACGGUGGCCUGGAGCUUCUCGGAGGGGGAAUUCUGAAUCUGUUGUGCCGAAUUCGCUUUCUAGAAGCUUAGAUUGUGGUAGUGAUAGAGGAAAGCUUGGAUCUGGGUUUGUUGGGAGGUCAAUGUUGCAUAAUUCUAUGAUUGAUGAGAGUCCUAGGGUUUCUAUUAAUGGGAGAUUGAGUUUAGAUUUGGGAGGUAGGGAUGAAUAUUUGGAAAUUGGAGAUGAGAGCCAGAGAAGACCAAAUAAUGGUUUGACGUCUAGUGUUUCCUGUGACUUCACUGCUUCUGAUACUGAUAGUGUUUCUUCUGGUAGCACUAAUGGUGUCCAGGAAUGUGGCUCUGGUGUUAAUGGGGAAAUCUCUAAAUCAAAGAGCUUGCCUCGUAAUAUUAUGGCUUCUGCUAGGUUCUGGCAAGAGACUAAUAGCCGGUUAAGGCGGUUGCAGGAUCCAGGUUCGCCUUUAUCCUCUAGCCCGGGUUUGAAAACCAGUAGUGUAUCUUCAAAGUUUGGUCUUUCGAAACGGUUUUCUAGCGAUGCUGUUCCUUUGUCAUCUCCUCGUGGUAUGGCUUCUCCUGUAAGAGGUUCUGCUAUUCGCUCUGCUUCACCAAGUAAGCUUUGGGCGACAACUACGUCAUCUCCAGCUAGAGCACUUUCAAGUCCUUCUCGAGUGAGAAAUGGAGUUUCUGAUCAAAUGAACGCUUAUAACCGCAACAAUACGCCUUCAAUUCUUAGUUUCUCUGCUGAUAUUAGGAGAGGUAAAAUUGGGGAAGAUCGUGUUAUGGAUGCACAUUUGUUGAGGCUUCUAUAUAACCGUUACCUGCAGUGGCGGUUUGUCAAUGCGAGGGCAGACUCUACUGUUAUGGUGCAAAGAUUGAACGCAGAGGUAUGGCUUAAUUAUGAGUUUUUUUAUUCCCUUUUGUGUCCACUCUGGGCUGUAAAUACUUUUAGCCACUGCAGCAGAUUUAGAAAAGCUAUGAUUUGUUCAUCUAUAUUUAGGAUCUUGAUGGAAUAAGUGAGCACUUAUGGAAACUUAUCAUUUAGGCUCCUAGGUGCCACUUAUCUCAGAUUUAUCAUGACAAUUUGGAGAUUAAGCUUGAGUUUGUUAAUCUUACUGAACUAAUACAGUGAAAGAGUAGUCAAUUUUUCUGCAUAGAAAAAAAGAUUGAGAGUAUAGUUAGUAUAAAUCUUUCAAGAACCUGUUUUAAGUAUAACUAAAUCUUCACUUCUAGCGAUUUCUGGCGUAACAUAAAAUGUAAAUUUACUCUCUUGAUUUUUCUCUUUGCCAGAAAAACCUGUGGAAUGCAUGGGUAUCAAUCUCGGAACUGCGGCACAGUGUCACUUUAAAACGAAUCAAGUUGCUUUUGCUAAGGCAGAAAUUGAAACUGGCUUCUAUACUAAGGGGACAGGUAAGAAUGUGAUAUCUUUUAAGUUUUUACGAUUUCUUACUUUAACAGGGCCAGUGUCCCAAUUAAGACGUUUUCUUUUUCUUCUACUUUUGAGGAAUAAGACAGAUAUUCUAUGGAAUUUGGCUUAGUGAUUCCUUCUUGCCGUAAUAAGAAAAGAAUGUUUUGGAUAUAAUUCAAUUAUUGUACAAUGGUAAUUGUCCCGUAACGUAUUUAGCAAAUGAACUAAUUAAUUAUUUGUGUAUGGUAGGUAGAUUUUCUAUAUCUACCACUAGAAGUUGGUAUGCUUACUUGCUUAGAAUCUCAUAUUACUUGCAUAAGAUAUAUGAGAUUUUAUUUAUCUCGAAAUGAUAAUUGUAGUAAUAGUACAUAUCUACAGGAGAGGCAUAUAAGAAAAGAAUAAAGAGAGUAUGAAUUUUUUUUUUUUUUUGUAUUAGAAAAUACUAAACUUGCUCGCUGUAUUUAUUAAAUUGUAGAUGGGUUUUCUAGAAGAAUGGUCUCUUCUGGAUAGAGAUCAUUCAAGUUCUUUGUCAGGAGCAACCGAAUCCUUGAAAGCCAGUACGCUUCGUCUACCAAUAGUUGGAAAAACCGUGGUAAGUACCAUUAUGAUAUAAACCCUGAUAUGAUUGUUUUGGCUUAAUCUAGACACCUUAGGUUAUUACACUUUUAAUAUGCUUCUCGGAUUAUUUAGGUUGAUAUCCAAGACCUCAAGCAUGCUGUUAGUUCAGCCGUCGAUGUAAUGCAAGCUAUGUCAUCUUCCAUAUUCUCACUGACGUUGAAGGUAAAAAAUUAUCUUGUCUCUCUCAGAUUUUUCGAAGUUCUGUUGAGUCUAUUGAACCUUUUGGGUCUGAAAUGUUAUCUUUCUUGAGUUAUUCUAUACACAACCCUUAUUUUUAGCGGUUACUUUAAGCUCAUUUAUACCUUCUAGGUGGAUGAGAUGAAUUCUGUAAUGGUCGAAACCGUGAAUGUAACUGCUAAGGAAAAGGUUUUGCUUGAAAGAUGUCAAGGUUGCUUAUCAAGAGUAGCAGCUAUGCAGGUAAAGGGUCUUCAUCUUCAUUUAUCUUCUUGUUUUCCGGGUUUAGAUUACCUGGCAAUGUCUCUAUUCUUUUCUGAUAUCGCUUUGGGGUGAACACAACAAACCAGGUUACUGAUUGUAGCAUGAAAACGCACAUAAUACAACUAAGUCGGAUACCAAUCACAAGCAGCUUGACUUCACAACUGUAGAAAAACUGAUCUUCCUCAAGAGAACAGAUUUGUUCUUUUUGACUACAAUACUCACCAAGAACAGAGUUGCUAACACGGGCCUUUUCCUUCCACGAAUCCGACCUUAUCGUUUUCAAACCAAGAUCAAGGUUAGAUUCGCGGAUUAUCAUCUCUCUCUCUCUCUCUCUCUCUCUCUCUCUCUCUCUCUCUCUCUCUCUCGCUCUCUCUCUCUCUCGCUCUCUCUCUCUUUUGCUCUUGUAGUUCUACGCUUGUUUUAUAUAAAGAUUGCAGGUAAUUCCUCUAAAGUAAGUAAGCUUAGUUUUGUAUACGUAAGUUUUUCUAAUGGUUCUUUGGCUUGUGUACAUAUAAAGAUGUAGUAAUGUAUGAUCUGAUGAACCACUGAUUUUGAUUUUUCUAGUUCUAGACUUGUUGCCGUUUUUUCAUAUUAAGAUGUCUUGUCGUUUCUAGUUGCCUUGAAGGAGUCUGUCAACACCUAAAAAGAAGUACAAGUCAAAGAGGACACUCUCACUUCAAUGUUAAUCGUUCCUUUUGCUUUUGUGGAACCUCCAAAAGCUCUAUAAUACUUGUAUAAAAAAGGCCAAAACUGUCCCACAUCAGGGAAUGAGGUCACAUCAACAUAGAUAGAUGUCAUCAAGUAAACCUAAUCUAGUAUUGACAUCUAUCUAUGUGAGAGAAUUCAAUAACAUAACUUAUGUUACAUAAGUGUGUUAAUAAGUUUACAUAAAGUUAAAAAAAUGAAAACCCUUUAUCCUGUUAGUAUUGGUAAUUCCUCUUUCUUGUUGAAGCUUGUUUGCUAACAAUGCACUUUCAACCUCCACUAUGUCUUUGUCCCCGGGUUCAUUAAACUCUGGCGAUGGCACUGUAUUAAUAUCUAUCAAUCCCUUUAGGCUCUGCUUUGGGUCAGAUACAUGUGUUACAACACUCCCAUUACCACUAGGACUCGACUUGUCUCCUUGGGAACCAGCCUCCUCGUCCUGGCUGCGUUUGUGACCGCUGAGAACACCUUCGUAAUGAAGGCGUUUGUGUCCCCCGAGGGAUUGUCCCGUUGGAAACAAUCUAUGACAAAUAGAACACUUGUGGAUUUUCCCAGAUGGAGCUAACCUCUUUGGCCGUGUUUUUUCUCCAGUUGCGUUUUCAACAGGCGGCUUAACCCUGUGGCCAGCCUUGUGACCACCUAAAGCUUGAUAUGAAGGAAACUCUUUUCCACAGACGCUGCACUUAAAGGGAUCAGACUUAGGCAGCAUCUGUGGUUGAGGUUGGGUGUGCGUUUGCGAUUGCCGUUUGUGACAGAGAGCAGCAGUUUCAUCCUCAGAGAGAGAAGAAGAAGAAGAAACUUCAUCAUCACCAAAACGCUGUUGAUUUGGUGCUACACUAACCAACCAAGGCCUAAUAACGGCUCUGUAUUCUUCUUCUUGCCGGAUCGAUUCUAAACCUGUGUGUGUAAAGGAAGAAUCAUCAUCAUCAUCAUGAGAUGAAGAAGAACGAUUUGGCUUUGUUUUUGAUCGUUCAAUACCAUCCAACAAAAGCUCAAGGAAAACGUCGUCGUUUGAAAACCGGGCUUCUUCUUUCUCUUCUUCUUGCCGGUUCGAUUCCGAGAAAGAAUCUUCAUCGUCACCAAAACACUCUUCUACUUGUAAGAAGCUGUGUUCCGCGAAAGAAUCUUCGUCGUCACCCAAACCUUGUCGUUGUGACAGUUCCCUGCGUUUCAACCAGGGCUCAAUCAAAACGGCGUCGUCUUCUUCUCGCCGGAUCGAUUCUAGGACUCUUUGAUCCGAAGAAGGAUCUUUAUCAUUACCAAAACGCUCUGGUAUUGACUGUUGUUCACAACUCUCCAACCCAAUCUCAACACACUCAUCGUCUUCUUCUCCUUCUUCUUCUAGCCCGAUCGGUUCUAUCACUUUUAAACGUUGAUUCGCCUUCGUUAAAAGUUGUUCCAACUGUGUUGUAAGAGCCAUUACUAUCACUAUCAGAGACCCUUUUCUUUUGCUUGUUUCUUACGAAAGAAACUUGGGAGAGUAAUGUUACGUACAAACGACAGUUGAAUUGUUAUUAUGUAUAGAUUCCAGACUUUGUAGGGUUUACUCAUAUUUAUAUUAGUUUAAAGUCGGUUAAGUUCUCUUUAUCGAUCUCUUAUAGUAUUAUCAGAAUCUUUUAAGAUAAAGCAAGAUUUCCAUUCUUUAGCUAUAUUCCUAAACCAAAUAAAAAGUAUAUUCCUAAACCAAGCAAAAUAAGCCUUUAUCACAGAAAAACAAAAGGGAAGCCAAAUAAAUAUUCAAAAUUUAAGGAAAUGGAAAAGGUCCAGAUUUUCGGAAGUCGGAACUGACCUUUUUUUGAAGUACAAACAAACUUUGUUUCUAUUGCUUUUUGGCCUAACAUAAAAUUGUAUAUUAUUUUUUUUUUUGUCAUCCGUAAUUAAAUAGUGCUCAAAAGAGCCAUUCUUGUGGAAUGUUGUUUACAUAAGUGAUAUGAAGCGGUUUCGUACGAAUUUUUCGUGCCAGAUUAUCCGCUUUUACAUUUGCACAACGAGAAAUUAAAGAUAAAGAGAAGGUAGAGAACUCUUCCUUGUCGCUCUGAAAUUCCUCCAGAUACACUGAGAAGGCCGGCCAUUCGGUUGGGGAAGACACCAUCUUCACCAGAUCAGAACAGUCUGUAAGGAAUGCUACCUCUUGAUUAUCUGCACCAAUCAUACACUUCAUCGCCCAAAGGAGGGCCUCGAAUUCGGCAUGUAGCGGAGAUAGGCUUCUACGGAGGUUGGCAGCUCCCAUUGUUGAUGGCUCACCGUUUGAUGGUGUACAAAACCACCAUAUCCCGGAAAACUUGUCGCUGUCUUUCCAGGAUCCAUCCACAAAACAACGGUAUCAUGUAAAAUCCGAAUCUAGGGACACCCCCCACGUUUGAGGCUGAUUUGGAAAUUCCACUGAAGCCUGAGUUUCAGUAUGAAGCUCCACUUGAGCUGAGUGCCACAAUCGUGCCUCUCUUUCCGCUAAAUAAAAUUGUAUAUUAGUUACUCUGUUUUUAAGUAUUAUUAACUCUUUGCUUAAAUCUCUAUGUUAUGUAAUGUAAUCCUUUACAAAUCUUAAAGUUUAACAUUACACCAGUGAGUAUUAACUCUUUUUAAGGUUUAACGAUUAAUUUUUCUUACUCUAAAGAGGGCCAAUGCCCCAACAAAGUUUAUGUUUUUUUGUUCUCGUGGAUGUAGCAAACGCACACACAAUCUUUGGUUGGUAAGACACGUUAAUAUAUAUUCGUUUGAUAACCAUAAUAACUGGAUGGUUAAAUAUUAACAUAAAAAAUCAAAAUCAAAAUCAAAAUCACCAAGUAAUACCCUUAAUGCAAUUAGUAUUGAAAAAAUCAAAAAUCGUUUUUCUAGUCAAGGCUUGUUUGCUAAUAUCAUUGCACUUUCAACUUCCUCCACGUCUCCGCCUCCAGAUUCAUCAAACUCCGGUGACGGCAGGUUAUUAAGAUCUAUCAAUCUCCUUAGGCUCUGCUCUGGAUCCGACACAUUUGUUACAAUACUCCCAUUACUACUAGGACUACACUUGUCUUCCUCACGAACAACCUGGUCCUGACUGCCUUUGUCACUGACGAGAACUCCGUCACUUUCACUUAGGCUCAGCUUUAGAUCCAACACAUUGUGACCGCUGAGAACGUUGUCACUUACCAUUAAACUCUGUCCUGGAUCUAACACUUUUGUUACAAUGCUCCCAUUUUUAUUGGGACUUAACUUGAGAACAACCUCGGCAUUACCGUGUUUGUGACCGCCGAGAACGCCUUCGUAGUGACGGCGUUUGUGUCCACCAAGUGCUUGUCCCGUGGCAAACACAACAUGACAUAUAUCACACUUGUGGAUUUUCCCAGACGGAGACAACAUCUUUGACCGCGUUUUCUCUCCAGCGUCUGCGUCUGCGUUUUCAAGAAGCGGUUGUGGCUGCUUAACCCUGUGGCUGGCCUUGUGACCACCUAAUGCUUGAUACGAAGUAAACCCUUUUCCACAGACACUACACUCGAACAAAUCAAACUUCGGCGGCGCCUGCGGUUGAGUUGUUUGAGUUUGCGGUUGCGGUUGAGAUUGUGUUUGCGUUUGGCGUUUAUCACAGGAAAACUGGAUGAGAGUGAGAGCAGCGAUAUCAUCUUCAGACGGAGAAGAAGAAUUAGAGGAAGGAUCUUCAUCAUCACCCAAACGCUGUCGUUUUAGUCGUAAAUUAUCCAACCAAGGCUUGUAGAAAACGGCAUCGUUUGCAAUCUCGUCAUCGUCUGAGAUUUUGUGUUUCACCGUCUGAGAAGGAGCUUCAUCACUAGUAGAACGCUGUCGUAUUGACAAUUCACUACUUUUCAACCUAGGAGGCUCAACAAAAACGACGUCGUCUUCUUUCUCUCGCAGAUAUUCUAAGCAUCUGCGUUUCGAAGAAGGAUCUUCAUCAUCAUGAAGAGAAAACUUUCGUUUUGAUCGUUCGUAACAUCUCAACUCGUCUCGCCUGAGUUGCAUAAAUUUGUGUUUCGGAACGGUAAGUUUUGUCAUCGGCGAAAAUUGAUUCAGUGUCUUGAGAUCCAUACUUCUCCGAUUAUGUUUCAGACUUUUUUUCUUAAUCCUUAAGAAACUUGGAGCGAUUAACGAAAAAAAGUUGUGUUGGUGUUUCGUGACUGUCGUAUUCUCUCAGACUCUCAUAUUUAUAUUAGUUUUAGUUUAGUCGGUAACACUGUUAGGUUUCGGAUAAACAAUUGAAUAUAGGAAACAGAGUAAAAAAAAGGAAAAUAGAAUCUCGGGAGAUUCUACGUUAACUCAAUCUCUAUUUUAAGUGCAAAAAUUCCAGUAUUUUUUAAAAAAGUAAAAUUUUGAAAAUUUCCAUAUAGUGAAAAAUGUGAAAAAAAACGACACUUCAAAAAAAGGUUAACCCUAAAAAAAUACAAUUAGGUUAAAAGCUGCUAUUCAAUGUCAAUAAAACCUUUUUUUUUUCCUGAGCUAUGUGUGAGUUACAAGCCGUGCGGGACACGCAUUAAAUCAAACGCGUACACGUCUGAUUGGUUUACUUUUUAUCUUGAUAAGUAUCAUAUUUUUCCUCAAUCAUUAAUAAAAUAUCUAUACUUUUCUCAAUCACUAUAAUAUCAUUUCCUGAGUGGGGAAAAAAUCUUAAAUAAUCAUUAAUUGAUAAACUUCAAUUAUAUAAUGGAAACGAAUUUUAAGGAAUUAAAUUUUCUUAAAAGACAUUAAAAAAAAUAUUAUAUAUUACUAGUAUUUGUUAAAGAAAAUCCUUGGAAACAUGGCCAAUUCGCGACCAUUCGUUCGGAGAUAUCUUUUACCAAUAGCAAGUAGUGUACCUGAUACGAAAAAAAAUGGACCAGAUUUUACUAAACCGACGUGUUUAUGUAGACGUGAUGUGGCCCUGAUUAGGCUUAUUCGGUCACAUGUCAUUAGGUCAGAUCAAACACAUAAUCCAAGAUAUAACACUUUUUAGACGCUCUUUGAUUUUUUUUGACAACUUGCAAAGUAUUUUUUUAUUUUUUAAAUACGGUCCAUCGAGGAUAAAUACAAUUCGCUUUGUUUGUUAUUUGAAACAACUUCCUACAUAGUGGCAGGAGAAGCUUUGGGAAAGGGUGAAACUCUCAAACCUAAGUUUGAUUCUCCCUGGAAACAAAAACACAUUUGUUUGGGAAGUCUGUCAGUUGGGCCUUGGCCCAAUUGGUUUACCUGGUAGCCAGAAAUGCAGACGACCUGACUACCCCUGGCACUUAGUCGGAAGGCAUUCCAAACUCGGGAUAGGCAGAGUGGUAGCCCAUAAGGGCCUAACCGUUAACACGGUGGACUAGUCCACUAUGUAGUACCUCGGUGCAUUCCUACCGGGGCCGACCGGAUAGCCGAUAGAGUUUAUAAAAAAAAAAAAAAACAACUUCCUACAUCAUUAUUUAAAUUAAAUAUGUUUUAUUUUAAAAGUUACAUAAACGAAAUUGAUAUUUAUCGAUUAGACGACCAACGUAGUAGCCUAUUUUAAAGCCCCUUAUGGUAAGUAAGUGCAAUACGUGGGCCGAAUUCACGGCCCAUUUUGCGUAAUAGGUUUCCUUGUCAGGGGACAGAAUUUGAAAAUCAAACACAUUUUUUUUUUUUUUAAAAUCUACUUCCCUCUUUCUCUUAGCAUAAACCCUAAAAUUCGUAUUUUUCAGGAUGACUCUGUUGCCGGCGAUUGGUCGCGAGCUCUCGAAUCCGCCGUCCGAUGGGAUUUCUAAUCUCCGAUUUUCCAAUAGCAGCGAUCAUUUAAUAGUCUCUUCAUGGGACAAGGUUAGAAAUCCCCAAUCUUGUCUCAAAAACAUUGAUUUCAUUGCUUGUUUGAAGUUUGAUUUAUCUAAUCUGAUGCUUUGAUUUAUGUGAAUUGGAUCGAAGAGUGUAAGAUUGUAUGAUGCGAACGCCGAUUUGAUGAGAGGGGAGUUCAAGCAUGGAGGAGCGGUACUCGAUUGCUGCUUCCAUGAUGAUUCUUCUGGAUUCAGUGUUUGCGCCGAUACUAAAGUCAGACGGUAUAGUUAAUUUGUUCUCUCUUCUAAUUUUAUCUGGUUCGAUUCAAAAUUUUAGUUGAGAUAUAGUGAAACUGGUCAUGUAGGAGUGUACACUCGUGUUUAUGAAAUGGUUUGUGGAUUCUAAAUAAUUGGGGUUCUCUUGUUAUACUUCAGAAUUGACUUCAAUGCUGGCAAAGAGGACGUUUUGGGGACGCAUGAUAAACCAGUUCGAUGUGUUGAGUAUUCUUAUGCUGCAGGUUGGUGGUAUAUGAUGUUCUUGAUGCUUAAUUGAGCUCUUACCUUGUUCAUACUUAGUGCUUAAUUUAACAUUGAUGAACUAUGUUACUAAUAGCUUUAUUUAGUGCAUUCGUGUUUGUAGUCAUACCAUGGUUUUGCUUGAACACUUUGUAACGUUAUAGGGCAAGUGAUCACUGGAAGUUGGGAUAAAACUAUUAAAUGUUGGGAUCCAAGAGGUGCAAGUGGGCUGGAGCGUACACAGAUUGGUACAUAUCAGCAACCUGAGCGUGUUAACUCUCUUUCUGUAGUUGGAAAUCGUUUGGUGGUGGCAACAGCAGGAAGGCAUGUCAACAUUUAUGAUCUCAGAAAUAUGUCUCAGCCUGAGCAAAGAAGAGAGUCCUCACUUAAAUACCAGACUAGAUGUGUGCGUUGUUAUCCCAACGGGACAGGUUAAAUGGCUGAUAUGUUGCUUUCAGUAGUUUUCAUUUUCCAACAGUCAAAGUUGCUUUCUUCCUGUUCCAAGUAUACUCAGGAGCCUCAAUUUCCUCUUCCACACUUUUGAUUUUGAUAAUACUUUGCAGGAUAUGCCCUUAGCUCUGUUGAAGGGAGGGUGUCAAUGGAGUUCUUUGAUCUAUCAGAAGCUGCUCAAGCUAAAAAGUAUGUUCCUAAUGUGUUUUCUCUUACCUCUUUUUGACCAAGUCUAUGACGUUUUGUUUAAUCUUGCUGAGCAUUUUUUCUGGUAAGAUAUCCCUUUUACUUUUUAUUAAUCUGAUAUCUAUAUUUGAACUUCUUUUCAGAUAUGCUUUUAAAUGUCACCGGAAAUCAGAGGAUGGAAGGGACAUUGUCUACCCUGUAAAUGCAAUUGCUUUCCAUCCGAUGUAAGUCUUAUCUUAAAGAAACCUGAUUGUUUCCUUUCAGUUACUUGAUUGCUUCAAGACUUAAACUAAUUUUUUCAAUGGCCAAGAUGGAAAAUCUAGGGGAGAAUAUAUGAAUUUUGAGGGCUAGUUCAGAGUAUUGUGAAUGCUAUCAUUUCAUUUGAAAACAAAUUCUGUAAAUGUAUGUUCUGGGAUCCACUGUAUAUAUGGAACCUAAGGGCAAAAUUUGAAACUUUAAGUUAUCUGUAUAUAUGGAACCUAAGGACCAACGCUAUCACUUCGAAUAACCUGAAGUUUUUUUAAAUUGUAGUUAUGGCACUUUUGCUUCCGGAGGUUGUGAUGGUUUCGUCAACAUUUGGGAUGGUAACAACAAGAAGAGGCUAUAUCAGGUAUAGGAAAGAUGAGAGCUUUUGAUAUUUUUUUUUUCAAUGUUCUAAUGUUCUUUGAGACGCAGCAUUAAAUUGCUCCUUCUUGUUUGUAGUACUCUAAGUAUCCAACAAGUAUUGCGGCGCUGUCAUUCAGCCGAGAUGGUGGAUUACUGGCUGUUGCUUCUAGUUACACGUUUGAAGAGGGAGACAAACCGUAAGAAUCUCAGUCUUUAAUCUUUCAGUUCUUAACUCUUUGAUGGAAUUAUAGUUUGAGUUUGAUGCUAUUAGAUUUUAUCAGGCAUAUAGAAACAUUUAACCUGUGGACAUUGAGACUUACAGAUAGCAUUCUAGAAAUGUUAUUGUGUUUGCUUUUGGAUUGAUCUCUCUUUAACUGAUACUGAGUUUUGUGUCUUUGCAGGCAUGAACCAGACGCCAUCUUUGUUCGAAGUGUUAAUGAAAUCGAAGUGAAACCAAAACCCAAAGUAUACCCCAAUCCUCCGAUAUAGACUAGUCAGUAAUAAUGGAAUGAGCAGAGUUAAAUUCGACUUGUGUGUUGUAUUGUUGCUACAGUGGCUGCCCAAAAAAGAUUGUAGGACUUUGAAGUGAGUUUUAAAAUCUUAUUUUGGCUGUAAAGUGAAUUGUGAACAUUACAAAGGCUUUCGAAUCUGAGAUUGUGUUCCUUUGGUUUUGAGUAAAGUCCAUUUACUCUCUGGUUUGCCUCCAAUUUUUUUUUUAUUUUUGGGUACCAACUCUUUUCUUUGUACCUUUUUUUUUGGGUUUGUGUGUUGGUUUAGAAGCUAGAACUUAGAACCAAGUUAUAAUUUGUUAUGGACCAUAGAGCAAAACAUAGAUGGCCUUGGAAAAGAUUCUCUAAUAUGUGUAAUUGUGUAUGUACAUGGCAAUUCCGAAAACUUAACUGAAAAUAUAAAAGAUGGACUUGAAAAAGAUUCUCUGGUUUAAUCCCAAGUCUGGUUCGACCCAAAAUCUUUCCAACUAGAAGGAAGCAAACCAAAACUUCAAAAGGCUGUUUAAAAGUGGGCAUGAAUGAAUCCUACUGAUCGUAUCUUAAUAUCUCAUUAUGCAACAAGCAACAUUACCACUCAUCUUCCUCGUCAUCAUCAACAUCAUCAUCUUCCUCGUCCUCAUCAUCAUCAUCUUCCUCGUCAUUAUCAUCAUCAUCACCAUUUUCUUCUUCUUCGUCUUCUUCCAGAUUCAGAUGAUCAUCCUCGAUCUCUUUCCCUUUUCCUUUUACAAGAUAACACAAACAUGAAGUCAGAAAAAUAAGAGACAACAAUAUACAAUAUAUAUCUCCGGAGCUUACCUGAUACUUUAGGUGGAGGCAGCUCAAUGACCGGAGGAAGCAAUGUUGGAACUCCACAAGCUUCCGGCCAAGCUGAUAACUCCGGAACAGGAGAAAAUGUAGCUGCAUACGUUUUGUGAUACCGUUCAAGAGUGUAACAGUCAUCUACAUACUGCAACGGGUUUAUUUUCAGCUUAUCGCAGACUGCUAGAGCGUGCAGACAUAGGAGCUUGUUCCUUUGAAACUUUCCACAAGUGCAAGUUGACUCAUUCAACUGAACAAUCCCGCGGGUUGAGACAUCCACCACACCCAUAUAUCGUUUCUUCUUUUUCGAGGUCGUUGAGACCUCAAAUGCAUCUUUUUCCAACGGUGUUACAACGCAAGUAACGGAAUCUUUAGUGAACUCUUCAAGCUUCUCCAUGACAUGUUCUGUGUACACAUUGCCGCGAUUAAGAGAACCACGGCUACGGCUAAAAGAUUCAUUAAAAGCGUCUCUCAGCUCACCAAACAUAAGCAUCACACCCCCUGCCAUUGCAACUUUGGGAAAUCUUUUAUAAUGAGCAAAGAGAGCUUUGGUACGUAUCUUCAUGAUUCCGUAUCUCCGACCAUCAUCAUGAGCCAGAGCCCACUGAUGUGGAGGAAAUUGGUCUAACCAUUUCCAACCUUCUGGAUUCUUCUCUUUAAUCUCCUUCAUGUAAGAAUCAAAUUCUUCCUUCUGACUUGACGGACCAGCCUUCUCCACAAGAUACUCCAUGUUGUGGUCGAAGCCUGGAGAAACGCUACCGAAUUUGGAGCACAGAUGAUCGAGGCAGAACCUGUGAUAAGCCCAGGGUUCUUUCCACUGAGACCCUGGUUCGUUAAUAACAGCGAGUAUGUCAGGGUCGGGACUGGAGAUGAGGCAAAUGCCUUGCCUCUGUGUUACCUUCUCUCUGAUUCUAGUGAGAAACCAGCGCCAAAUAUCGACGGAUACUUCUUUAGUAACCGCAAAGGCAAGCGGAAAAUAUUCAUUGACUGCAUCAAAUGCCGAGGCAAUCAUCAACUUCAUUUUGUAUUUACCUCCCAAGUUUUUGGUGUCGACAACUAUCAGAGGUCUACAAUGUUGAAACCCUUGGAUAGACUGAGAAAAUGCCCAAAACACACCCCGAAAGUAGGCGUGUUCAGGAUUAGGCAAAGAAUCAUAUUGCCAGUCCACGAGAAGGCCAUUAGAAGAGUGAAGCACAGACAUUAACUUGGGUAUGAAUCUGAAACUCUGAUCCCAAUCUCCAAAGACUUUUUUGAUAGCUUUCACUUUCGCAUUCUCCAAAACUCCAUGUGCAUCAUUAUCCACCUCCUCAAAUGCAUCAAGGGCAUAGCCAAAUUUUUCUUUCCACCACUUAUCCAACUCCGCAGUUGAGAGCAUGGGCUGUACCCUGACCACACGUUCAAUCUCAAAUGCUACACGCUCGGCAUCAAAAUCAUUUAGUGAAGGAGAUUCAGGGUGACAAGUAUGUGAACCACUACACUUGGUUAUCUCAAAAAGACCGUCUUCUUCUCUCCUAGCUGCACAAAUUGACCACUUGCAUUGCCAUCUUCCACAUUCAAACACAUACAUGUCCUUGUCCGUCUCUCUUACUAAAUAUUUUUUCUGCCUUUUAAUAGACCACCAGUCCACUGCCUUCUUCAGUUCCUCUAUAUCUUUAAAAAACAAUCCCACACGCAUUGUAUCAUCGUCAAGCCACAAACCAGACACAAGACGCGGUGUUGAUCCUGAACCUGAAUUUGUAUCCCCCACCUCUUGUUGUUGUGUGCUCUUCUGUCUUUUCUGGGGAUUAAUUCCCAUUGGAGCAGGAGGAGGAGGAUCAUUAGAAGUUGGUUUAGCUUCCAAGUAAAAUUCGACAGUGUUAAUACAAGGGUGAUUGCUUGGAACCUCAAGCAUUUUCUCCAAACUAGCGUCGCUCAUCACAGGGUGAAGUAGAUACCGAAACUUAUUGGGUGAUUGAACAACAGGGUACCUAGCGACUAUUUCAAGCUUUGAUUUUUGCUUAUCAAAUCCAGUAAUUAGAUAAAGCUCGUCAAGAAAUCUGCCAAAGUCAGUCUUUUUCUUGACUCUCAUCUCUUUGGGAGUCGAUCCUUCAUAGUAGACGCCAUCAGGGCCAUGCUUGAUAUGACAAUUCCAGUAACACAACACCACCACCUCUCUUUCAUCCAUUAGCGAGUACAACAAAAAAAACCUACAAGUAAAAAAAUACCCUAGAAAGCUACAAUAAACAAUGAACAUCAAAAUACAGACUUGUUAAAAAAACUUGCUUUCUACAGAAAUGAAAUGUACCUUUCGCUAAGGAAUUCUUCGGUGAUUUGAUAACUGCCUUUUCAUAUGCUUGACCUAGAGCAACUCUCAUAUAUCAUCCUAAUUUUUCAAAAUAAUUACAGAGCGGAAUUAGUAAAAAAGUAAAGUUGGGCCAAAAUUAUAAAGCCCAUUAAUAAGUGUUGUACGAAAAUAAAGCCUAGCAACUCACCAGUUGGGCCGUAAUGGGAGUAUUCAUGGUGUACCCUUUCGUUUUUUGGUACAAUCUGGAUUCGGAAACCUUAAACCUAGUUUCGACUCCGAUUUAUAGUUCGCUUCCGUCUGGUUUGUGCGCCAAUCUCGGGAUUACACGCUAGUUUAUUGUAGCUAAUCUCGGGAUAAAGCUACUGAUAUAGGAAAAUAUACGGUUGGAUUUAACUAUACGUGGAGGGCUGAGAUUAACAGAGGAAGAGAAACACGUGGAGGGCUGAGAUUAACAGAGGAAUAGAAGCUGAAGCUUAAAAGGAGAAAAUGGUUUAGCUUUAGAAAUCAAUAAGAAAAUUCUGGAUUUGUUGUUUAUCGUUUCUUUUGGAUUCUCUCUGAGAAUUGUUCCUCAUCGUCGCCGGAGUUUCAUCAUGAACUCUUGCUGAUGAGAAGUGGUGCUGCGUUACUUGCGAACGUUGUAUCCAUUUAUCGUUAUCAAUAAACUCAAUACUUUGUUUCCUUUAUCACUGGUAUCAGAGCCAUUCUUCCUCGGAAUCAAUGGCAGAAACUAGAUCGACAAGCCACCACAAGCUAAUCCCUAUGAAGUAUUCAUGGGAGGAGAUAAAUACACGACGAGAGGCUGGUUUGUGCAUAUUUUGUGACGAGCAAGAGACUCAGGAUCAUCACUUGAAGCACAAGAGGCUACGGCUUGUCAUGGUGGACCUUGCGUAUACUUCAUUGGUUGAUGUUGAAGAUCUUAAGCGAGAUAGUGAUCUGAAAGCAGAGGAGGAUAAAAAAGUGGCAGAAAUAGAGGUUAAAACUGAGGUCGAGACAAAAUUGACUGCAAAUUUGGUACAGGAAGCGUUCUUGGAGGAUGAAUCAACUCCACAAGUUCAGGUACCAAUUGCUAAUUCUGAGAUUUUGAAGAGUAUUGAACCUAGGGAAGUAAACUUAGGAUUGGAAAGUCUAGAAUCUGUGGUGAUGAACGAGAAUCUAGAGCAAGAUGGGGUUCAAAAGAAAGUUACUAAGAGAUUUGAGGUUGAUGGUAAUGUUGAGAAGACUCAGAAAGUGUUAAGUGUUACGGAAAUUUGCUGUGCACACCAAGUGUUCGGUAAAAUGUCUCAACAUGAAGAAAAGCUGGGAAUAAAGAAGGAAGCGAAAGGGUUCAAAUCAUGGAUGUUCAAAUUCAAGCCUAUUAAGGAAAAAAUAAAGAAACGAGACAAUAAGGGUUGGUUCCACACUUGGAGCAGAAAACCGAGUUGGAAGAAGAACAAGGUUUCCAAAACUUGGUCCAUGCUAAACGUUGAUUGUUUCAAGGAUGAUGAUCAAGUGUAUCUUGAAUCACUUUCCAUAGGACUACUUAUCAGAUUCACGUUCUGGAAAUUCAAAUUCAUUAAGAGGAAUUUGCAAAAAACCAGUCCACAAAUAGAAGAGGUUAUGAUGAGAGAAGAUCAUAAGCAACAACAUGGUGAUAGUGAGCCUCUAGCGACUGCACCUGAUUAUGAUAUAAAGUUCAUGAAAAUGAAUUUGCAGAAAAAAAUGGGAGAACAUGGAUACGUCAACCACGGGAAGCUAAUGUUUGAUAAAGAAAGACAUGAUGAUAUUCUAAGAAGGUACAACUUGCAAUGGAAGAUACAGAAAUUGAAGUGUUGUUCCAAAUCUUCGCAAUUUGAGUUUCCAAACAAGAACGCGAGUGGAUAUAACCUUGACAGAGAUUUUGUCUUAGAAAUGGAUCAUUGGUAUCACUAUGUCAAUUUGGAGACAGGAUCGUUUCUUAAAACUGAUUCAAUUUCAGAACUUGAAUUGGAGUCAACUGAAUCAAACAUGGAGACAAAUAGUGUUGCACAACCUCAGGUAUCAAUUUUUGUCUUGGAAUCUAGCCAACAGCAGAAACUGUUAGAAGAUUUUGAUAUGAAUACGGUCAGUAAGGAUCAACAAUAUGUCUUAGCAGAAGCUUUGAGUCCACUCUUUGAUAAUUUUCGCUCGGAAGUGGCUGCGUUUUGUGAGCAGUCAACAUGUGUCAAGUCUCAUCAGAGGAAGCAAAGACUAUCGCCAAAGUCUUGGAUGUUCAAAUAUAAAUUGGGGAAGGAGUGGAAGAGGAGAAGGAACAUUUCGUUUCUCUGCUUAAUUGUGGUGAGGGCACUUCACGUUGAUAGGCUGCAGGAAAGAAAAAUGCCAUUGUUAUUGAAAUAUAAUUGCAGAACUGUUCUUGCAGAGGAGUACAACACUAGGUGCUUAAGUGUGCCUUGGAUAAAGCACAAGAGUAAGCAACUACUGAGCAUCACAAUAUCAGUUUCUGGAUUUAACAGAGCAUCACAUUAUCAAGUGUAUUUGUGCUUGUUCUUGGCCAAAACCCUUGCAUCACAAUUUCAGUUAUGGUAUGGUGGUGAGGCGACACGUUAUUGUUACAAGCUGCUCCUUCAACUAUUCCUACAGGUAAAAAGUACGACGAGGCAACGGGAACAAUUCUCUAGUGCCCAAGUCAGAUCCGAGUUAAAAGGGAACAGUUUUAAGUAUGGGAGAAUGCGUGGAGCAAAGGGAUUGGCUGAAGAAAGUUGGUUACGGAUCAGACUUAGAAGAAGUCCUCAUUUGAAGCAGCCCAAAACUUGGAGUUUUAAGUAUAAACAACAGAAGAACUAUCAUGAUGUGUUGGUGAAAGAACCAGAAAGAAUAUCAUAGUCCAGCAUUAAAGAGCUGCAGAAGUUAUGAUCUACAUAAGAAGUUCAUACUACUAAACCUUGAGGACAAUGGAGGAAACGACAUGGGAGUCCUCUUUGUUCUACAUCGACAAUUUCCAAACACUGAACCUUGUGGUCAAGGUUCUUCGAACAGGGGAGAUUUGAUAUAGGAAAAUAUACGGUUGGAUUUAACUAUACGUGGAGGGCUGAGAUUAACAGAGGAAGAGAAACACGUGGAGGGCUGAGAUUAACAGAGGAAUAGAAGCUGAAGCUUAAAAGGAGAAAAUGGUUUAGCUUUAGAAAUCAAUAAGAAAAUUCUGGAUUUGUUGUUUAUCGUUUCUUUUGGAUUCUCUCUGAGAAUUGUUCCUCAUCGUCGCCGGAGUUUCAUCAUGAACUCUUGCUGAUGAGAAGUGGUGCUGCGUUACUUGCGAACGUUGUAUCCAUUUAUCGUUAUCAAUAAACUCAAUACUUUGUUUCCUUUAUCAGCUACGUGCCGCGACUAAACGAACAGCCUAAUUGUAGAAACUUACCUUAGACGCGAUCUUAUUUUAAUGUUUUAAGAUCAAGGUUACGAAAUUUGAUCUCUUCGGAGAGGAUUUUGGUAAAUGGGAUCAGAG